UUGCUGUGUCACCAGACUGUUCUCUCUGGGGACACCUGCCCAUCAGACGCCUGGGAGAGAAAUUCAGAUUCCACAGGGUUUUAUUGUGGUUUUGUGCUCCUAGGACCAUGAGGGAAUGCAGCUUCCUUAAAGUACAAAAAUCUUUAUCAUUGACAUUUAGGGUUUCAUCAAUUCUGUAUCCCAGGGAGAAAGGCAGCAAGACCCAGGCUGCCCCCUCUGGGUGUGAGGGACCGGCUUGGUGAGGAGGGGGCUUGGGGGCAUUGACCUAGCAGGAGGCCCUGACUGCCCCCACUCAGCCCAGAAACCACCUGGGAGGCUUCUGUCUUCCACGGAGGGGCCACUCUCUCAUGCCCAAAAAUAUUUACAGCUAGGCGUUAGGGUAUUAGGUGGUUUAAGAACAUCAGAACCAUGGCAAUAUUUUUGUACUUAGAAUUUGAGCAUGUUUGGUAUUUUCAGUAGCUUGUUUAAAAAAUUCCAGUAGAGGCUGGGUGCCAUGGCUCAUGCCUGUAAUUCCAGCACUUUGGGAGGCUGAGGUGGGCAGAUCACCUGAGGUCAGAGUUCGAGACUAGCCUGGCCAACAUGGUGAAACCCCAUCUCUACUAAAAAUACAAAAAAAGUAGCCGGGCGUGGUGGUGCGCACCUGUAGUCCCAGCUACUCAGGAGGCUAAGGCAGGAGAACUGCUUGAACCCCGGGAGGCGGAGGUUGCAGUGAGCCAAGAUCACGCCACUGCACUCCAGCCUGGCGACAGAGCGAGACUCCGUCUCAAAAAUAAAAAUUCCGGUAGAGUAAUACUCUUGUAACGCAGUGUGCAAUUGAGCAGUUGCUGACUGCUGAUUUAGAGUUGAAAUCCGACUAUAUUUAUGUCUAGUCUUGGACAGUGGAGAAUAUUUCAGCCUCAUUAAUUAAUCGGUUUAAUUUAGCAGAACUGCAGUCAGUAUUUGGAAACAGUUUGUUAUAUUAAACCCUGAAGUACUUGAGGCUGCGCGCGGUGGCUCAUGCCUGUAAUCCCAGCAUUUUGGGAGGCCGAGACAGGUAGAUCACUUGAGGUCAGGAGUUGGAGACCAGCCUGGCCAACAUGGUGGAACUCCAUCUCUACUAAAAAUACAAAAUCAGCCGGCGUGGUGGCAGGCGCCAGUAAUCCCAGCUACUCCGGAGGCUGAGGUGGGAGAAUCCCUUGAACUCAGGAGUUGGAGGUUGCAAUGAGCGAGAUCGUGCCACUGCACUCUUGGGCAACAGAGCGGAGACUCCGUCUCAAACAAAACAAAACAAACAAAAACCCUGAAGUACUUAAAAAGAAAAUGAAGAGAUUACAUUUAUAAGGUAAAUUUAAAGUAUUUGAGAGAUUUUAACCAAAUUGUAAAAAGAGAUUGCUAAAUUUUUACACUUAUACUCAGGAUAUGCUUAAGGGAGAACGAUGAUUUUUAAUAUUUAAUGAAUGUUAAUAAAUCUGCGAAUUACUUAAACCCACAAAACCCAGGAACCUCCCCGUCCCCCCGGGUCUCCUCGCAGUCCCGCCCCGACGCUCGACCCACCAUUCGUCCCUCCCUCUGGGCCCGGGCCCCGCCCACUCCGGGCUUCGCCGGAGGCGGAGGCAACGUCGUGCGCACGCG
rnacentral:lncRNA from 10 species